rnacentral:tRNA from 1 species
GGAAGGAUGGUUUUGUUAGUAAGACACCAGACUGAGAUUCUGGUGACCCGGGUUCAGUUCCUGCCUCCCCCU